GACGAACGCUGGCGGCGUGCCUAAUACAUGCAAGUUGAGCGCUGAAGGUUGGUACUUGUACCAACUGGAUGAGCAGCGAACGGGUGAGUAACGCGUGGGGAAUCUGCCUUUGAGCGGGGGACAACAUUUGGAAACGAAUGCUAAUACCGCAUAAAAACUUUAAACACAAGUUUUAAGUUUGAAAGAUGCAAUUGCAUCACUCAAAGAUGAUCCCGCGUUGUAUUAGCUAGUUGGUGAGGUAAAGGCUCACCAAGGCGAUGAUACAUAGCCGACCUGAGAGGGUGAUCGGCCACAUUGGGACUGAGACACGGCCCAAACUCCUACGGGAGGCAGCAGUAGGGAAUCUUCGGCAAUGGACGAAAGUCUGACCGAGCAACGCCGCGGGAGUGAAGAAGGUUUUCGGAUCGUAAAACUCUGUUGGUAGAGAAGAACGUUGGUGAGAGUGGAAAGCUCAUCAAGUGACGGUAACUACUCAGAAAGGGACGGCUAACUACGUG
rnacentral:rRNA from 1 species